UACGGAGGGUGCGAGCGUUGUCCGGAAUCAUUGGGCGUAAAGGGCGCGUAGGUGGCCCGGUCAGUUCGUGGUGAAAGCGCGGGGCUCAACCCUGCGUCGGCCACGAAUACUGCCGCGGCUGGAGCACUGUAGAGGCAGGCGGAAUUCCGGGUGUAGCGGUGGAAUGCGUAGAGAUCCGGAAGAACCCCAGAGGCGAAGGCGGCGUCCUGGCUCGCAUCUGACGCUCAGACACGACAGCAUGGGGAGCGAACGGG
rnacentral:rRNA from 1 species